CUUAUACAGGGUCGUAGGCGCGUAGAAACAUUCUGGGGAGACGGAGAAGAAAAAUAAUGACUGUCCGAAAAAGAAUCAAAGUGCCUGGAUGUUUACAGGAGGAUGGUGGCACAGUCACAGCUUCCUGGGCGGGGACGGCCUUCUGCGUGGGUGACACCUUGGAUCAGGUUGUUGAUGCGUCAUGGGACUGCUGGAUUGUACACUGAAAAGUAAUCCAGUGCGAAUGCUCCCUGUAAAGAGACACUGUUCAAGAUUGUUUGAAGAUAAGAAUGAAAUUAGAAAAUAAAAUAGCCCGGAGAUGUUUUGCCGUACCUUUGAAAAUGGGCCAGAGCUGCUAAGGACAAGAUUGCCCAAACCACUCAGAGAUGGUAAUAAUAGCCCUUUGUGCCUCUUUGUAGACAGUCAGGUGGAUCAACAACUAUUUUUAUUGACGUCUCUGACACCUACUUGUUAAAGGUCACAAAUGGUAUGUCUAAAAUUCUAAACGAUUAGAACAAUCCAGACUUUUGAACCCAGGGCCUUUACACUGAGCUACAUCCCCUGCCUGCCUUUUAUUCUCUCUCUCUCUCCCUCUCCCUCUCCCUCUUCCUCUCUCCUCUCUUAUCUCCUGCUUCAACCUCGGAGAAUGCUGGGAUUACAUGCGACCCCCACCGGGCUUGCCUCUGAUCUUUUUUUGUCUUAAGUGUUGAACUAAAUUCAAGAUGCCAGGGCCAGGGAUUUAGCUCAGUGGCACCACACCUGCCUCUCAGGAACAAGGUCCUGAGUAUGAUGCCCAGUACCAAAAAAAAAGGAUUCCAGAAUGCAAGUAUAAAAGCAUUAUGUCUAUUUUAAGCCUAAUAUAUUGAUAAAUAAGUUCUAGAUACCUAAUAUGCAGCAGUGUGAAUGCAGUUAAUAAUACUAUAUUGUAUACUUGAAAUUUGCUGUCUGUAGAUCUUAAGUGUUCCCACCAAAAGCAAAACCAAAGUAACUAUGAAGAGAAAAGGAUAUGUUAAUUAGCUUGACUAUGGUGUGUACAAUACAAUGUAUAUUAAAACAUCAAGUUGGGCCAGGGAUUUAACUCAGCCGUUCCACUGCCUGCCUCAAAAGCCCAAGGUCCUGAGUUUGAUCCCUGGUACAAAACAACAAAACAAAACAAAACAUCAAGUUGUACACCUUAAAUAUAUAUUUUGUCAGUUAUACUUCAAUAAAGCUGAAGAUUUUAAAAAGCAA
rnacentral:lncRNA from 1 species